UCCCUGGUGGCUCAGACGGUAAAGAAUCUGCCUGCAAUUUAGAAGACCCAGGUUCAAUCCCUGGGUUGGGAA
rfam:TPA: Bos taurus chromosome 4, whole genome shotgun sequence.